ACCUACGAGAUUCAUAGAUAUUUGACUACGUAGUUCAAUGUGCACAUAGAGGCGCUGAUGGAUGAAAACAGCUGAAAACGCGAUGGCCGCUCUCAGGUCCUUCUCUGUUGAAACUUAAGUUCCCUAUUUUUCUUUUUAGAGAAUUUCUAGUUGAAAACGUGCGCGAUUGAUCAUCGCUUGGCGCAUGUCGAGCGAUCGAAAACGGACCUGUCGCGAUUUCUCGAAACUUGAUCAGUGCGAUUUGAUUUUUGCAAAUCAUUCCGGUUUGCUUCCCCCUACGUAACGCGCGUGAUAACAUUGAGAUACACUUCCUCAACUCUACGCAUUUCGUGAGAAGAAACAACGCGAAAAUAUGCAAUGUGUAAAUCAGUUAUCCAUCCGAUUGCCUCAGAAACUUUGUAGGCGAGGUUGAGAGACUGCCAUUUUUACUGCCCACUUCUUCUAAGUAUUAUCUGUCGAUGUUAAAGAGUUUCAUGCAUGUUUUGCGAUCUUUUAAGUAAAAAAUAAUAUUGCCCAUCAACAUAAAACCGUAAUUUAAAAAGUUAAUUUUUUUCACGUCUUUGUCGAAAUGAGAGUAGAGUCGUAUAAUUUAUCGUGUUGCCUGAGUUAUAUAACUAUUGACUUUUCCAGCUUAAUUCCGAAAGGAAGAAACGAAGAGGGAGCGAGGGAGAGACAAACAAGCACAUUGAAUUAAAUAAGUAUUAAUUUAAUCACAUAUAAUUACAAUCACACAUAUUUGCGAUACAUUGCCAGACUCUGCUACGUAGUAAUUUGUCAUAUGCUGUAAAAAGGGCGUAAGUCGAACUUAACUAUAGAAAAAGAAAUGCGCCAUUACCAAUUGUUAUCAUUGAAAGGCAUAUAAAAAAAUAUAUCGUCGAAAAGUGUCU